rnacentral:lncRNA from 1 species
AAGCAGGAAAGAAAGGGGCUCGGUGCGGCGGACGGCCCUGAGCCCGCGGUAGCGACAGCCCGCGCACGACGCCCGCCCCGGCCUGCAGGGCGAGCGGGAGACCGAGGAGCAGCCGACGCCUCGGCCCGGCCCAGCGGGGACCCGCCCAGGGGCCACUCCCCAAGGGAGGCAGCCAGUCACUCGCCCGCCCCGCCAGGCCCGCGCCUGAGGGGACGGACUCCCGCCCGCCCUCACACCGCGCCUCACGCCAGGCCCCCGGGGCUUCGGGUAAAUCCUGCCUCUGGAAUGCAGAGUGAUGGAUGCUGUCCACCUCAAAAGACGUCAGAAGCUUCAAGGAAGAUGUCCUAGGGGGACUGUGCUGUGAAACAGACGAAGCAGGUGACUCUGGGAUGAAUGAGGAGUGUAACUCAGGGCAGGAAGCAGUGAAGAAGAGUUCUUGCUAUGGAGUACCCAUGGACACUGUCGCCCCUGAUGUCCGUAAGCUAGUGUGGUUCUCAAGCACUACCUUGUCGGCUGAGGGAGGGUGCCCCCCUGUGAUGGGAGAGAGGCUGAGGGCUGCACCGGCUGCUGCGAUGAUGCUUGUUGCUGCAUGCGAUCCUGAAGGCUUCGUGCUUUUCGAAUACUGAUUUGCAACUUCUUAUCG